UACGUAGGGGGCGAGCGUUGUCCGGAAUUAUUGGGCGUAAAGAGCUCGUAGGCGGCUUGUCACGUCGAUUGUGAAAGCCCGAGGCUUAACCUCGGGUCUGCAGUCGAUACGGGCUAGCUAGAGUGUGGUAGGGGAGAUCGGAAUUCCUGGUGUAGCGGUGAAAUGCGCAGAUAUCAGGAGGAACACCGGUGGCGAAGGCGGAUCUCUGGGCCAUUACUGACGCUGAGGAGCGAAAGCGUGGGGAGCGAACAGG
rnacentral:rRNA from 1 species